rnacentral:rRNA from 1 species
UACGAAGGGGGCUAGCGUUGUUCGGAAUUACUGGGCGUAAAGGGCGCGUAGGCGGUGUGUCAAGUCAGGCGUGAAAGCCCCGGGCUCAACCUGGGAACCGCGCUUGAGACUGGCACGCUAGAGUUCGGGAGAGGAUGGUGGAAUUCCCAGUGUAGAGGUGAAAUUCGUAGAUAUUCGGAAGAACACCAGUGGCGAAGGCGACUCACUGGACACAUAUUGACGCUGAGGUGCGAAAGCGUGGGGAGCAAACAGG